CGACGCCCGCUGCGAGAAUAAAAGCUCCUGUCAAGAAGUCCGUUGCGUGAUGGCUGUGGACAAACUCAUCAAAAGUCUGAAGCCAUUCCAUAUGGAUGGACAGUAAGCACAAUAAUCUUUAAGAUAUAUGUAUUUUUUUAUAUCAAUUUAAUGUUUUUAAUUCACAUAUGUUCCCUACAGCUCUCUGUAAUAUAUAUUUUUAUUCAUAAAAUGAUAGAACAUCUUUUAUCAAAAAUAAAUAUACGAGAAUCUCACAUGAAUGUUUUUAAUCAUAGAAAUCAUUUAGAAACCGUUUUAAUAAAUAAUUAUGAUAAUUUGAAUGACAAAAUGUUGGAAUAAUAAUCAUGUGUAAUAAUAAUAUUAGGAAAAGCUUGAUUUAAAUAAAAGAAGCCAAGAAGUUCUGAGCCGAGGAUGUCAUUGUGGCUUGUGCAGCCCUUUGAGACACCCGUGAUUUAGGGCUAUAUAUGUAAACUUUGAUUGAUAAACUUUUUUUAUGAUUUAUUUAUCAUCAUACUAAUAAUGAUAAUUUGGUUUUCAUUCAGUGGGGUCAAAUAUAGUAUUUAAAUAUUGAAUACAAAUAUUGAAAAUUAUUCUAAAUAUAUUUGGUAGAAAACUAAGACAUAUUUCAUCUUGAAGUCACUUUGUAAAAAUAUCAACAAUAUUUGACUUUCUCUGGCGUUCACUUUGCUAAUUCACUCUGAGUAGCAUGUCAUAUAUAUUUAUAUAUGUGUAUAUAUAUAUAUAUAUAUGUAUGUAUAUAUAUACAGUAUUGUGUAGGAUAAUUAAUAAUAUACAAUAUUGUUUAUAAUCUAGAAUAUUAUACAAUAUUGUACAUGAUCAUCUGUAAUAUACAAUAUUUUAUAUGAUAAUAAUAUACAAUAGUGUUUGUAAUAUAGAAUAAUACACAAUAUUGUAUAUGAUGAUGAAUAAUGUAAGACAGGAAGUCUUACGCGGAAGAUGUAGGGGGCGGUGCGUUUGUCGGUGGCCUUGAGUGCGACGAAGGCGAUGCUGUCGUACAUGGAGGUGUGACUGAGCACGCACGGCCCAAAGAUGGCGCUCUCAGGUACGUCACAGGUGGUGUAGACGCUGGUGAAGAUGUCUGUCAGACAUUGUUGGACCGCCUUGGUGUCGCCCUCCCAGACCACCUUGUGAGAGCUGGACUCCUCCAUGGCAAGCUGGGGGAAACACACCAUUUUUUACACCAUUCUUACACCUUUGUACACCAUUCUUACACCUUUUUUUUACAACAUUCUUACACCUUUUUUACACCAUUCUUACACAAUUGUUACACAUUUUUAUGCAACUCUUACACAAUUGUUGCACAUUUUUUCCCACAACUCUUACACAAUUUUUACACAUUUUUUUUACACAAUUGUUACAUUUUUUAUGCAACUCUUACACAAUUUUUAAAUAUAUUUUUUGCACUUUUUACGCAAGUCUUAGAUGAUUGCUACACUUUUUUACACAAUUGUUACACCUUUUUUACACUGUCUUAAGCAAAUCUUACACGACUGUUACACUUUUCCACACAAUUAAGCGGUAGAAAAUCGAUGGAUGGAUGAUUCAUAGUUUUCAUACAGUUAUUACACAUUUAACAAAAUUGUUACCCCUUUUUUUCUAAUUAAAAAAAGUUACAUGAUUGAUACACUUUUGUUGUAAUUUAACCCACGUGUUACACUUUUGUCACACAAUUGUUACACAUUUAACAACAUUGUUAAACCUUUGUUUGAAUUUAAUACACAAUUGUAGACCUUUUUCCCCUAUUUUAAUUGUUACACAAUUGAUACACCUAUGUUAUGAUCUAACACACAAUUGUUACACUAGUUACACAUUUGUUACAUCUUUUUAAAUAAGCUAAACAUUUUACACAGUUGUUACACCUUUGUUAUAAUUUAACACACAAUUGUUACAAAUCUGUUACACCUUUUUUUUAUCUUUUUAAAAACUGUUACACCUUUGCUAUUAUUUAGCACACAAUUGUAACGCCUUUGUUACAUCUUUUUAAACAUUGUUAAAACAAUUGUUACGCCUUUUUUAAAUUACUUAAAACAAUUGUUUCGCCUUUUUAGAAUUAGUUCAAACAAUUGUUAUGCCUUUUUUAAAUUAGUUAAAACAAUUGUUUCGCCUUUUUUGAAUUAGUUAAAACAAUUGUUACGCCUUUUUUAAAUUUGUUAAAAUAAUUUUUACGCCUUUUUAAAAUGUGUUAAAACCAGUUACACAUGUUUUUACAUUUGUUGAAACAAUUGUUACGCUUUUUUAAAAAAUUGCUUUAAAAAUGUGACAGUUGGUACACCUUUGUUAUAAUUUAGCACGCAUUUGUUACACCUUGCACUUUUAAAAUCUGUUUAAAAAUAUUAGACAAUUGUUACACCUUUCUAAACAUAUUUUCAAAAAUAUCAGACAAUUGUUACACCUUUCUAAAAAUCUUUUUAAAAAUAUUAAACAAUUGUUACACCUCAGUUAUAAUUUAACGUGAUUGUUACACCUUUUUAAACAGUUAAAUUUGGAUCCACCUUUGUUAUUACAAUAUUACAUUGCUUCAAUGAGAAUCUGACAUGUUUUUGUAACAUUAGUUUUAGUAAGUGCUUGCAAUGUCACAGUGUUGUAAACAUGUCACAAACUGUCAAAUGUUAAAAAAUAAUGCUAUAGCUAAAGUCUUCACCCCCAAAAAGGUAAGAAUGAAGCGCGUCCCAACAUGAAAGUCAUGAUUCUCUGCUGCGUUUGAUCCACAGAGAGAAAUACAUCUCGUCCGCACGGAGCCAAGCAGCUGCCGACGGAUUUGUUCAUCCUAAUUAAUUCACAGCUCAUCACGGCAGCACUCUGACAAUAUGAAUAAUGACUACACAGCAGGAGUGCAUUACAGUCAUAAUAAUCAUGUUAUUACUAGCAAGAAUAACACAACCAUUUCUACGAUGUACAAGGUCAAAUAGCCAAAUGACAAAACACGUCAAUAAAAAUGACAUUUCCAUCUAAUGUGGACAAUAUAAUCUAUGAAUGCAUUCAAAACGAAAGUAAAAAGGGUUUGCACGUGCACUCACAUUUAAACAAUUGCAGGUGUAAUAAAUACAGAUAUGACUUAUAAUGAUGCGCAGUAAUAAUUACUUUGUGUUGACAGAUGGACGCGCGGCUCGGUGUAAAAGUGCAAUAAAAGCAUAAAUAUAUCCAACAUCAAUCUUCCAUCCCGUGUCCCUCAUUAGCAUAAUCCUCCACUUCACCCACGUGACUAAUUAAAGCGCCACAAUUCUUCAUAAUGUUGCUUUUCUUCCCGCGCGCGCCACCGACGCUCCCAGCGUGCGAAAUGUUGCUAGUGGGACUAAAAAGUACCUUUUACUUUCUAUUCCGUUUUAUUUUGAAAUGCGUCUUUAUCGCCGAUAAUGUGCGAUGCAAAUGAAAAGGUGUUUCUAUGACAACAGUGUGUCAAAUAAAAUGUUACUAUGACAACAAUAGUGUGAGAAAUAAAAUGUUUCUAUGACAACAAUAGUGUGAGAAAUAAAAUGUAAUUAUGACAACAAUUGUGUGUCAAAUAAACAAUUGUGUGUCAAAUAAAAUGUUUCUAUGACAACAAUAGUGUGCGAAAUAAAACGUUUCUAAGACAACAGUGUGAGAAAUAAAUUGUAAUUAUGACAAUUGUGUGUCAAAUAAACAAUUGUGUGUCACAAUGUUUCUAUGACAAUAGAGUGAGAAAUAAAAUUUCAUUAUGACAAGAAUUGUGUGUCAAAUAAAUAAUUGUGUGUCAAAUAACAUGUUUCUAUGACAACAAUAGUGUGAGAAAUAAAAUAGUUUAGUAAGAAAAAAAACGAUCUACCCUUUUUCUUCAACACAAGAUAAUUUUUAAAGAAGACCUAUUAUUAUGAGCAGAACCUCCUUGUGUUCCGUCAUCAAUACAAUGAAGCGGACCCGAACCGUGCACUCACACAAUCUGAUCUCAGGUUCACUUCGGCCUUUCUUCUGACCCCGAACCCGGCUUUUGAAUCUGCGCUUUUUGGACCCGAACUUUCCUUCCUUUUUUUUUUUUUUAAAUCCUCCUUUCAGCCUCUUUUUCUACACGAUUCUUUUGGCCGGUACCGGCAGCAUGUUUACCUCUUGUGCAGCGUCGGAACCAAUAAUCCACACAGCGGGUCGGCACCUCGGACCACAAGAAGGAGGAAAAAAGAAAGGCAAAAGCCUCCAGAAAGAAGGAAGGUGGUCCUGGUGAUACUGAUGGUCCCGAUGGAGUCACAGGCACAACAUGGUGCCGGAGGACAGCGGCGUGUUCCGGUGCUGUGUGCGUGUCGAGUGUUCCGGUGCUAUGCAGGACUCGCACGCCGACCUGCGCGUUUUGUUGUCGGCACAUAAUCUCUCCAAUGAGGCGUGUCGCUCUCUGCUGUCUCCUCCUCUUAACUCUUUACACACACACACACACACACACCGUCCUCAUCUUCAUUCUCAUCUCCUGCUUUUGAGUCUUGACUGGCAUCCUGGACCACACACACAAUCCUCAUUCUCAUCUUGAUCUUCAUCAUGGUCCUCAUUCUCAUUUUGAGUUUCAUCUUCUCAUUAUCACCCUCAUCUACAUUCUCAUCUUCAUUCACGUCUUUAUUUUCAUCCUCACCUUCAUUUUGAUCAUUCUCAUAUUUAUUCUCAUACUCAUCCUCAUCCUGUCUCCUCCUUGUAACUCUUCACUGGCACCCUGGACCACACACACACAUACACCAUCCUCAUCUUCAUCUUGAUCCUCAUCUUCAUCCUCAUUCUCAUCUUCAUCAUCAUCUUCAUGAGCCACAAGCGUCAAAAACACACAUUUUCUAUAAAUAUGUUUAAUCUUAAUUCCACAAAAAAAUGUAUAUUAUUUAUAUUAAUUUCUUGUUAUUAUUAUUAUUUUAAUAAUAAUUAUUAAUGUUAUUAGUAGUGUUUCUAUUAUUUGACACAAAUGGAGCCAUCUCCACUCAACUCAACCGACCUCCUCUUCCCCCAGCUUCCGGCUCCAGGGACCGGCCCUGUCCGACAACAACAGCCGCCUGAGGCGGCCUCAUGCGGCUCAGUGUUCCGUCGACUCCCCUCUGGAGGUCCCUUCCUGCAAUACCUGUAGCCGCACUUAGAGGGCGCCAGUGCCUAACUCUGCAGGCUUCUCCUGCUGCCAAGUGAGAAGACGCGUGGGGAUUGCUGAGGAACUUGAUUACCUUCAGGACGUCUGUCCGCCUCACACACACUUCAAAACAACACACACUUCAAAACAACACACACACACUUCAAAACAACACACACGCACACACACACGCACACACACACUUCAAAACAACACACUCACACUUCAAAACAACACACACACACGCACAAAAAAAAAGUGCUUCUGGUAUCAGCCUAACCCGACCCGCCUGCAACUGAACCAACGCAGCAAAACAACUCAUCAGAGCCGGCAGCCACAGGAAAGAACGCACGCACGCACACACACACACACACACACACACACACACACAGAUGCGUCCCCAAAAGGCAAAUGUGGGGGCGGGGGGUCUUUAAAGCAAACAGUGGGACACAGCUGGUAAGUGGAGGACAUUCAAGGUGUGUGUGUGUGUGUGUGUGUGUGUGUGUGUUCUGGCAAAGCUUACUUAUUGGGGACGUGGCUCUGUUCACAAAGUCACUUUAGUGGACCUCUAACGUUAUGGGGACAACAAAAGAGGUCUCCUAAAGGGAAACCUUUUUAAAGAACACCUCCAGGCAACUACAACCCUAAACUAACACCUUCCCUUCUCCACACCCCACUUCCCUGGAUUGUAAAUAACCUAAUGUAAUUAAUCAAAUGUAUAUACUUGUUCUUAUGCUUUCUGAGCUCACUAUGUCCACUGCUGGCUGUACAUAUCCUACCAAGUCACACCUACACUGUUUCAAUGUCCAUU